rnacentral:rRNA from 1 species
GUGGGGAAUCUUGCGCAAUGGGCGAAAGCCUGACGCAGCAACGCCGCGUGCGGGAUGAAGGCCUUCGGGUUGUAAACCGCUUUCAGCAGGGACGAAAUCAGACGGUACCUGCAGAAGAAGCCCCGGCCAACUACGUGCCAGCAGCCGCGGUAACACGUAGGGGGCGAGCGUUGUCCGGAUUUAUUGGGCGUAAAGAGCUCGUAGGCGGCUUAGUAAGUCGGGUGUGAAACCUCCAGGCUCAACCUGGAGACGCCACCCGAUACUGCUGUGGCUAGAGUCCGGUAGGGGAGCAGGGAACUCCUGGUGUAGCGGUGAAAUGCGCAGAUAUCAGGAAGAACACCAGCGGCGAAGGCGCUGCUCUGGGCCGGAACUGACGCUGAGGAGCGAAAGCGUGGGGAGCAAACAGGAUUAGAAACCCUAGUAGUCC